UGGUGAUUAUGAACUUAUGUGUUUUGUGGAGGCUUUAAAAGACUUCUCAUGUUUAGGAUUUUGGAAUGUUAAGUUUAAUUUGUAUAAUGAUACGACCUUCUGAUCAAUGUUAGUUUUGUGGUUGUAUAGAGUCUUACACUUGUGGAUUUAUGAUGCGGUUUUCGUUUAGUUGAGUUGGCUUUGGAUUUUAUCAAUCUUUGAGUGAUGUGACGUAUGAUUAUAACUACAAAGUCUUAUAAAUUGUUGAUUAUGGGUGUGAAUUAUGACUUGAAUGAUUUUUAUUAUCCUCAAAUUUAGUUUAGAUUUUCUAUUAGAUUGUUGAAUAAAUUUUAAUAUUAU
rnacentral:lncRNA from 1 species